CAAGGAAGGACUUUCUGGAAUCUACUUAUCUGACCAAGAAAGCUUCUUUCCAAAAGAAAUGCAAUUGUCUUGAGACUUCUUCCCUAGGGAUCUGAUCAACUAACUGGAAAAAAGCAACCACCGGAGAAGAGACUGUGGGUGUCAUUGUGACUGGCUGCUACCUCCCCAUGAGUCUUCUAAAAUAAAACCUGCAAAUUCACAUCUUCCCCAUGCUUCCAGAGAAUGCAUAUUCUUCCUUUGAAAAAAGAAAACCAGGUAGUCGUACAGUGUCCAGAAGGCAAAAGGACAAGUAUGCACUGCCCUGCUGACCUACUUUCCACACUGCUGCACAGGAAAAUCUGACAGAGGACAAUGACAAACGUCUCACCAGCUCAUGUGUUCUUUUUUGAUCUUAAUUCCGAGAGACUCACCAAAGACAUGAAGAGAAAACAAACAAUACUUUUCUUAGAAAUAUUGUAAUUGCUGGUAUAUUUGUUGUUCUGGCAUAAGGUAGAAAUUGUCAGGUAAACAUUGCUUCCUUUUGGAUCAAAAAGAAAUUUAACCAAAUAAAUGCAAGAGGUAUGAGGGAAGAUAAUGGGAAAUAAAUGAGAUUUGAGAAAUCA
rnacentral:antisense_RNA from 1 species